UAGGGAAUCUUCGGCAAUGGACGGAAGUCUGACCGAGCAACGCCGCGCGAGUGAAGAAGGUUUUCGGAUCGUAAAGCUCUGUUGUAAGAGAAGAACGAGUGUGAGAGUGGAAAGUUCACACUGUGACGGUAUCUUACCAGAAAGGGACGGCUAACUACGUGCCAGCAGCCGCGGUAAUACGUAGGUCCCGAGCGUUGUCCGGAUUUAUUGGGCGUAAAGCGAGCGCAGGCGGUUAGAUAAGUCUGAAGUUAAAGGCUGUGGCUUAACCAUAGUAGGCUUUGGAAACUGUUUAACUUGAGUGCAAGAGGGGAGAGUGGAAUUCCAUGUGUAGCGGUGAAAUGCGUAGAUAUAUGGAGGAACACCGGUGGCGAAAGCGGCCCUCUGGCUUGUAACUGACGCUGAGGCUCGAAAGCGUGGGGAGCAAACAGGAUUAGAUACCCUGGUAGUCCACGCUGUAAACGAUGAGUGCUAGGUGUUAGACCCUUUCCGGGGUUUAGUGCCGUAGCUAACGCAUUAAGCACUCCGCCUGGGGAGUACGACCGCAAGGUUG
rnacentral:rRNA from 1 species